GAGUUUGAUCCCUUUGCUGCCAUUUGAAGGAUUUGGUACUGCCUAUUUCUCUUUUUUGCAGGAAUCUGUGUGGUGGUGGUGUCGUUGUUGUUGGUGGUUGGUUGACUGUUUUAAUAUGCGAGAAAGGAGAAAAGGUAAAUAUGGGGAACUGGAUUUCGAUGACAGCACCGACAUGUAAUGAUAUGACGGGAGCAUGUAGGUUGCCACGCGUAAGGUAAUGAGCAUGCGUAAAUGCAAGGGAGGGGGAAAUCUUUCCUAGAAAAAAGAAAAAACUUUAACCAAUGGUAGGCAACAAUCUGUCCCGGAAUGCAAAACUAAGCGGCAAAAGUAAUAGGAAGAGAACUUUUUGUUUAAGGUCUUCGAGUCAGACGUUGCCAAGUGUUACCUUAGUGGGGUCCCUAAAUAAAUGGGAAUUCAAAGCUAAUUGUUACAGGCUUUCAGCCGCAUAGGGGCACGCAGCCCAUCCUCGCACGCACCUAAGGGUCAGAGGCUCUUCUGGGAAAAAAAAG
rnacentral:lncRNA from 1 species